AGGAGGAACAACCCCAGUGGCGGGGCAGCUCUGGAAACCUGGAUUCAGCUCCGGCAGGAACUCCGGAGCUCUCCGUCUGCAGGGCCUGGAGGCUCCGGGGCGGG
rfam:Canis lupus familiaris chromosome X, whole genome shotgun sequence.